UCAAGGUAGUCGCCCGGUGAGUGGACUAUUGGGUCUGUCCAAGCGGUAUAUAGGAGAGUGGCCGGUUGUGCCGUGAUGUACAGUCCCCCUUCCUCAGUGUUGAAGAGCAAGCCUGUCCUUGGUCCUAGAGCUGAUGAGGGCAGCAUCCUUUAUAUUCCUAUAACUUCUCAGUCUCUAGACAAUUACUGAGGAGAAACCAUGCAGGGUGCAACA
rnacentral:snoRNA from 13 species